AAGGAGAAGCACAUCCUUGUAGGCAAGAAAGCAAGCCAGUAGCAGAACAUAUUUGAAUCACAUAGAAGCAAGACCUAGUUCUUAGAGGUUCCGCGACAAUGCGACAAAUGACGAUCAUUUCGGUUGGCAUUGUUGUGCUUGCCGCACUUGUUUUGGCAUCCGAGGGUCGCAUUGCCCGGAAGGACUUAGGCCUAGACCUUGGUGGUGUAGGCUUCAAGACCGGUACAGGUGUUAAUAUAGGGGGUAACAUUGGCAUAGGUGGUGCUAUUGGUGGUGCCAUUGGUGGUGCCGGCUCUGCAUCAGGGUCUGGUUCUGCGUCUGGAUCAGGGUCGGGAUCAGCCUCUGGUUCGGGGUCUGGCUCGGGAUCUGGUUCGGGCGCUGCAUCAUCAGCGGGUUCGGGUGCAGUUUCUGGUGAGGGGUCUUAUGCUGGGUCUGGUGCUGGCUCAGGUUCAGGUGGAGCCUCUGGCUCUGGUGCUGGUUCAGGCUCUGGCGCUGGUUCAGGUGCAGGCUCAGGCUCUGGUGCUGGUUCAGGUGCAGGCUCAGGCUCAGGUGGAGCCUCUGGCUCUGGUGCUGGUUCAGGCUCGGGUGGAGCCUAUGGUGGAGCUUCUGGCUCUGGUGCCGGUUCAGGCUCGGGUGGAGCCUAUGGUGGAGCUUCUGGCUCUGGUGCCGGUUCAGGCUCGGGUGGAGGCUCUGGCUCAGGUGCUGGUUCGGGGUCCGGUUAUGGUCAGGGGCAGGGAAAAGGCGAAGGCGAGGGCCAAGGAUCUGGAUAUGGACAGGGUUCCGGCUCGGGCCAUGGACAAGGUUCAGGCUCUGGUUCGGGUUAUGGUGAGGGACAUGGUGAAGGUUAUGGUCAAGGACGUGGUGCGGGAUCAGGAUAUGGUGAGGGCCAUGGUGAAGGUUAUGGUCAAGGAAGUGGUGCCGGGCAAGGAUCUGGAUAUGGCGAGGGUCAUGGCGAAGGUUAUGGUCAAGGUAGUGGUGCCGGGCAAGGAUCCGGAUACGGUGAGGGCCAUGGCGAAGGUUAUGGUCAAGGAAGUGGUGUCGGGCAAGGAUCUGGAUAUGGCGAAGGUCAUGGCCAAGGCUCUGGUUCAGGCUCAGGCUAUGGUGAAGGCUCUGGUAGUGGUUAUGGAAAUGGGGCUGGUUCGGGCUACGGUGAAGGUCAUGGAUAUGGGUAUGGAUCUGGACAUGGCAAAUGAUUAAGACGUGGACUACUGCAGUAUUAAUAAUGUAUGGUUGUCUCAAGCUUCAUAUUUACACUUGGACAUCAUCUAUGUGUGUGUGGCUUCGAUUCUAAGGAGCUGAGUCUAACUAAAUUGGUGGAGGGUCAAAUGUAUAAUCCUGCCAUCUAGGUGCAAGCCUUUGACCCGAACUUUAGAGUGUAUGUUCCACCCGUUGUAUUAAUAGUACAUGUAGGUUCUCCUAUAUAUACUUUAAUAUGUACUUAUUUAUUUUGUGCAAUCUUAUACUCCCUUUGUCCCAUAAUAUAAGAUCGUUUUGCAAGCUGAUUUAGCUUGCAAAACAAUCUAUAUUAUGGGACGGAGGGAGUACUCAGCUAGGCUAGAUUAAUUAAUCAUCCCCCAACUAAAUCUCAACACGAAAAGGAUGAUUGAUGUAUGCUGCCACUAACAACGUCCAGUAUAUACUUCAAAAGAGAAAUAAUAACUGGUUCUACCAAUUACCAUAGAUAGCAGAAAAAACACUAAAUAAAUUAGCCGGAGAUAUGUACAUGCACAUACUGGAUGAAUAACCAUGUUCUUUCGCCUGAUCGAUUGAUUGUACACUACACAUGGUUGGGAUCUUAUCUACCUUGUUAAGAAAAGCCACCGACCACCCUUGCCGUUUCUUCUAGGAAACUUACCGUGGUUUUUUCGUUUGUGGGAAAGAUUACUUUUGUUUUGUUACUAAUAUCAUCUGUGCCUAUGAAGUAUCAUAAAUUCAAGUGAUUCUAUUCCUCCUCAAAGCCAUGGUGUAGGUUAGAUACACCUUGUUAAUGUGCUAGUAUUUCAUUGCGAGUUGUGUACACUGUAAAAUCCACUUUCUUUAUAGGCAAUCUUUUCUUUGCUUCCUGGACUUUAGUUAGUUGGAUGGGAAGAUACCUCAUUGAUCUGGAUAAAACAUGGAACAUAUGUAUUCUGUAUUUUCAUUUCUUGCAUAUGUUUUUCCUUUCUGUCAUGAUUUCUAAUCUCAUGCAGGUUUUUGAUCUGAAUAACUCAUGUCUUUUGAAGUCAGCGAGGCAUCAUCCCCUUAUUUCCUCUCAUGCUACUUCUGGUUCAUAUAUUGCAUAAAAUUCCGAGUUUUGUGUGAAUACUUCCUAUCAUGUGGAUCAGUGGUAGUUGGUUUAAUUGGCAAGACUCUCUCAUUUGAGUUCAGAAAUAUUUGUCGCUCGAGUCCUUGGUGUACUGCUUUCCUUGAGUCUUGCCAAGCUUGGUUUCCCAUCAGUUGUGUCUCCUCCAGCUUUCGGUUGGAUCAAUUUUUCGAUCCUCCCUUCAGAACAGUUGUUAUAACAUGAGCUGUCCUACUCUGCUCACACUGCAAUCUUCUGAUGCUCUCUUCUCUGGUUCUUGCUUGUUCUCUUUUGAGCUCCUCUCUCCUUAAGUUUGGUUGAUCUGUAGCCUUGAUUCUGUCUUUUGAGGACAGAAGCAUUCAACUUUCUGGCAAACUUAAUAUUUCCCUGAUUUACUGGUAUUGUUAGUUGCAUUAUCUGGUGAAGCAAUUCUGGUUGUGUUUCACCUCUUGUGUUCUUCUGUUGAUACUGAGCAAAAGAAACCCACUCCGGUGAUGUCUCAAACCUGCCUGCCGCCUGGCUUUCGUUUCCAUCCAACUGAUGUUGAGUUUGUUUCUUACUACUUGAAAAGGAAGAUUAUGGGGAAGAAACUUUUUGUCGAAGCUAUCUCAGAGGUUGAGCUGUACAAAUUUGCUCCUUGGGACCUCCUGGUAAUUUCAUCUAUUGUUUUAUUUUUUUUAUUUAAUGAUUGCACCCAAAUGAGUUGCAAAUUAAUCUAGAAUUCUUGUAAUGCUCUCUCUUUGGUUGAAUUUGGUUCCUGCCUUUGUCGCGACCUUCUAUGUUUCUGUGCAGAUAAAUCAUAAAUCAUGUCUCCAGAGCAAAGAUCUUGAGUGGUUCUUCUUUUGCCCCCAUGACAAAAAAAAUCCUAAAGGGUCUUGGACGAACCGUACCACACCGAAUGGUUAUUGGAAAACAAGUGGAAAAGACGGAACUAUUGACCUGAACUCUCGCAUUGUUGGGUUGAAGAAAACAUUGAUUUUUCAUGAAGGCAAGGCACCCAAAGGCAAUAGGACUGAUUGGGUAAUGUAUGAAUACAAAAUGGAAGAUGAAACCUUGGUGUCUACUGGUUUCUCAAAGGAUGCUUAUGUACUCAGUGGGCUUGGCCCAAGGAUUGGUGAGCAAUAUAGGGCUCCUUUUGAUGGAAAUGAAUGGGAGAAUUUAGAUGUUGGAACUUAUAUCUUGUCUUUUGCACCAUCGUCAGGUGUAGAGGAUUCACAGGUCGAAAGUUCUGCCUGGGUUACUGCCAUAGUUAUUCGGGAACCAUCCGCUCCUCAGCAGUCUGUUCAAUUUUCUGAACAUGUUAAUAUCUGUUCUGAUGAGGUUGCUGGCUUAACUUGAUUACUCUCUUGGCUAAUUGUGCUGACGGGAAGUUGUGUUUUUGCUCCAGUGGACAUAACGAAUCCCGGGCAACCGUGGAAGCGAGGAUUGACAUGCACAAGGGGGUCGAUGCGAUGCUGCAAGACUUGGUUUCUGUGACGGUUGCGCAAAACAUGUUCUUGUUCUCAUAGCCUCCUGUUAGUAGCAGCCAACACUCAGGGCAAUCAUCUCCGUUAAAUUGGUUGCUGAAGAUAAGGACGUCGUCGGCGAGUACAAGCAUGGAUGGAUGAAUUCAUCGGCAUAGUUAAUUAGGUUCCUUAUUUCUUUUCCAGCAGAGAAGAUAUAUAGAUUGAGCUAUGUUGUGGAACCAUCCAUUUUCUUUUGUUUCAUGUCGUGGAAGGAACAAACAUAUGGUAUAAAAUAUAUGAAU
rnacentral:rRNA from 1 species